rnacentral:snRNA from 1 species
AGCUUUGCGCAGUGGCAGUAUCGUAGCCAAUGAAGUUUAUCCGAGGCAUGAUUAUUGCUAAUUGAAAACUAAUUUAUCUGUAAUAUUUUUUAGUAUGUCUCUUUGUACUGUGCUUUAAGCAC